UACGUAGGAGGCAAGCGUUGUCCGGAAUCACUGGGCGUAAAGAGCGUGUAGGCGGUCUGCCAGGUCUGUUGUGAAAGCGCCUGGCUUAACUGGGCGAGGUCGACGGAAACUGGCAAGCUGGAGGCCGGUAGAGGAGGGUGGAAUUCCCGGUGUAGUGGUGAAAUGCGUAGAGAUCGGGAGGAACACCAGUGGCGAAGGCGGCCCUCUGGGCCGGGCCUGACACUGAGACGCGAAGGCGUGGGGAGCGAACGGG
rnacentral:rRNA from 1 species